rnacentral:rRNA from 1 species
UGCAAGUCGUGCGAGAAAGUAUCUUCGGAUAUGAGUAGAGCGGCGGACGGGUGAGUAACGCGUAGGAAUCUACCUAGUAGAAGGGGAUAGCCCGAGGAAACUCGGAUUAAUACCGUAUACCUCCUUUGGGAGAAAGAGGGCCUCUCUUGAUGCUCUCGCUAUUAGAUGAGCCUGCGUAAGAUUAGCUUGUUGGUGAGGUAAUGGCUCACCAAGGCUACGAUCUUUAGCUGGUCUGAGAGGACGAUCAGCCACAUUGGGACUGAGACACGGCCCAGACUCCUACGGGAGGCAGCAGUGGGGAAUAUUGGACAAUGGGCGCAAGCCUGAUCCAGCCAUACCGCGUGUGUGAAGAAGGCCUUCGGGUUGUAAAGCACUUUAAGCAGGGAGAAAAAGUUAUAAGUUAAUACCUUAUAACCGUGAUGUUACCUGCAGAAUAAGCACCGGCUAAUUCCGUGCCAGCAGCCGCGGUAAUACGGAAGGUGCAAGCGUUAAUCGGAAUUACUGGGCGUAAAGCGCGCGUAGGUGGUUUGUUAAGUUGGAUGUGAAAGCCCUGGGCUCAACCUAGGAACUGCAUCCAAAACUAACUCACUAGAGUACGAUAGAGGGAGGUAGAA